rnacentral:rRNA from 1 species
ACCCUGAUCCAGCAAUGCCGCGUGAGUGAAGAAGGCCCUCGGGUUGUAAAGCUCUUUUGUCAGGGAAGAAACGGAGUUCUCUAAUAUAGGAUUCUAAUGACGGUACCUGAAGAAUAAGCACCGGCUAACUACGUGCCAGCAGCCGCGGUAAUACGUAGGGUGCAAGCGUUAAUCGGAAUUACUGGGCGUAAAGCGUGCGCAGGCGGUUUUGUAAGUCUGAUGUGAAAUCCCCGGGCUCAACCUGGGAACUGCAUUGGAGACUGCAAGGCUAGAGUGUGUCAGAGGGGGGUAGAAUUCCACGUGUAGCAGUGAAAUGCGUAGAGAUGUGGAGGAAUACCGAUGGCGAAGGCAGCCCCCUGGGAUAACACUGACGCUCAUGCACGAAAGCGUGGGGAGCAAACAGGAUUAGAUACCCUGGUAGUCCACGCCCUAAACGAUGUCUACUAGUUGUCGGGACUUAAUUGUCUUGGUAACGCAGCUAACGCGUGAAGUAGACCGCCUGGGGAGUGACGGUACGCAAUGGU